rnacentral:rRNA from 1 species
CUGCAACCCGCCUGCAUGAAGUUGGAAUUGCUAGUAAUCGCGGAUCAGCAUGCCGCGGUGAAUACGUUCCCGGGGAUUGUACACACCGCCCGUCACACCAUGAGAGUCGGGAACACCCAAAGUCCGUAGUCUAACCGCAAGGAGGACGCGGCCUAAGGUGGGUUCGAUAAUUGGGUGAAGUCGUAACAAGGUAGC